rnacentral:rRNA from 1 species
UACGAAGGGGGCUAGCGUUGCUCGGAAUCACUGGGCGUAAAGCGCACGUAGGCGGAUUGUUAAGUCAGGGGUGAAAUCCUGGAGCUCAACUCCAGAACUGCCUUUGAUACUGGGGAUCUCGAGUCCGGGAGAGGUGAGUGGAACUGCGAGUGUAGAGGUGAAAUUCGUAGAUAUUCGCAAGAACACCAGUGGCGAAGGCGGCUCACUGGCCCGGAACUGACGCUGAGGAGCGAAAGCAUGGGGAGCGAACAGG